CUCCCACUCGGGUGCAAGCCUCUCCACGUGUCAUAGAAGUCAUGCCCGUGCAAUAAUUUCCUAAAGUGUUGGCCUAGUGAGAUUGAAUGUUGUUGUGGUAAUUUGUUCCCCUCACGUUUUAUAUCGACAUCGGGAUCUGGAACGCAAUUAAAGUCCCCGCAUAUAAUUGUAUGGCCCACUCUGAGCUUGUCAAUUGUCCUAAACACUGUGCUGAGAAAGGUUUUUUGCUUAUCAUUCGGCGCAUAUAUGGAAG